GACGAACGCUGGCGGCGUGCUUAACACAUGCAAGUCGAACGGAAAGGCCCUGCUUUUGUGGGGUGCUCGAGUGGCGAACGGGUGAGUAACACGUGAGUAACCUGCCCUUGACUUUGGGAUAACUUCAGGCAACUGGGGCUAAUACCGGAUAGGAGCUCCUGCUGCAUGGUGGGGGUUGGAAAGUUUCGGCGGUUGGGGAUGGACUCGCGGCUUAUCAGCUUGUUGGUGGGGUAGUGGCUUACCAAGGCAUUGACGGGUAGCCGGCCUGAGAGGGUGACCGGCCACAUUGGGACUGAGAGACGGCCCAGACUCCUACGGGAGGCAGCAGUGGGGAAUAUUGCACAAUGGGCGGAAGCCUGAUGCAGCAACGCCGCGUGCGGGAUGACGGCCUUCGGGUUGUAAACCGCUUUCGCCUGUGACGAAGCGUGAGUGACGGUAAUGGGUAAAGAAGCACCGGCUAACUACGUG
rnacentral:rRNA from 1 species